UCUUGUCUGCUCGGAUGAGCAAC
rnacentral:snRNA from 1 species